rnacentral:rRNA from 1 species
ACUCCUACGGGAGGCAGCAGUGAGGAAUAUUGGUCAAUGGACGCAAGUCUGAACCAGCCAUGCCGCGUGCAGGAAGACGGCUCUAUGAGUUGUAAACUGCUUUUGUAUGAGGGUAAACCCGGGUACGAGUACCCGGCUGAAAGUAUCAUACGAAUAAGGAUCGGCUAACUCCGUGCCAGCAGCCGCGGUAAUACGGAGGAUCCAAGCGUUAUCCGGAUUUAUUGGGUUUAAAGGGUGCGUAGGCGGUUUGAUAAGUUAGAGGUGAAAUGUUAGGGCUUAACCCUGAAACUGCCUCUAAUACUGUUGAGCUAGAGAGUAGUUGCGGUAGGCGGAAUGUAUGGUGUAGCGGUGAAAUGCUUAGAGAUCAUACAGAACACCGAUUGCGAAGGCAGCUUACCAAACUAUAUCUGACGUUGAGGCACGAAAGCGUGGGGAGCAAACAGGAUUAGAUACCCUGGUAGUCCACGCAGUAAACGAUGAUAACUCGCUGUCGGCGAUACACAGUCGGUGGCUAAGCGAAAGCGAUAAGUUAUCCACCUGGGGAGUACGUUCGCAAGAAUGAAACUCAAAGGAAUUGACGGGGGCCCGCACAAGCGGAGGAACAUGUGGUUUAAUUCGAUGAUACGCGAGGAACCUUACCCGGGCUUGAAAGUUAGUGACGAUUCUGGAAACAGGAUUUCCCUUCGGGGCACGAAACUAGGUGCUGCAUGGUUGUCGUCAGCUCGUGCCGUGAGGUGUCGGGUUAAGUCCCAUAACGAGCGCAACCCCUACCGUUAGUUGCCAUCAGGUCAAGCUGGGCACUCUGGCGGGACUGCCGGUGUAAGCCGAGAGGAAGGUGGGGAUGACGUCAAAUCAGCACGGCCCUUACGUCCGGGGCUACACACGUGUUACAAUGGUAGGUACAGAGGGCAGCUACCCUGCGAAGGGAUGCGAAUCUCGAAAGCCUAUCUCAGUUCGGAUUGGAGGCUGAAACCCGCCUCCAUGAAGUUGGAUUCGCUAGUAAUCGCGCAUCAGCCAUGGCGCGGUGAAUACGUUCCCGGGCC